UUCCCCCAUGCCCUCUUCUCCCUUGGCUUUUCACCCAGCUGGGGCAUUUUCUGGCUCUUGAGUCAUUAGGGAAUUUUGUCAGGGAGCUUUUGGGGUGGGACACCUUUGGGAGCACUGGCUCCCUGCUAGCCUGCUGACACAUCUUGCUUUCCUUCACUGCAUCUGGGUGCUUUCCAGGUAGACUUGGGUUCAUUCUGAACGACCAGAAAUUCCCAGCUGCUACUACACAGACCUGCCUGCUGUCCCCACGAUGUUCGCGAAUGGCUGUCCCCACAAUUUCUGGCCCAGGGAGCAUGCUAAGGAGGAGGAAGGCAUGAGAUUCUUGUCAUUGAUGCCCACAAAAAAUGAGUGCUCGUGGUAUACUCACGGGGUCAGAAGAAAGCAGCUUUCCCCGGUGCGUAACUACCAAAACUCAACUUCUAAAAAAGUGCAGCUGUCAUCUUCACAGCUCUCUGCCACCUGGAAAACUGAGGAUUCAUCCUGUUUCCCUGAGAAGAGAUAAUGUUGUGACCAUUCUUCUAAUUGCUUGCGCUUCUCCUUUUAGAAAGACAAAACCCUUGGAGCUCCCAAGAGGUUCCUCUGCACCUGACAAGAGUUUUUAUAGCCUGUUUCCUUUUCCCUGGCUAAGUUUAGCUCCUGGUUUCCCUUCGUCUCAUCCCCCAGGCAGAUCUCACAAGAAGCUAAGGUGCUUGUGUUUUCUUCCUGCCUGCAUCAAUUCAUUUAUCUUAAUGAAGUUUUAUAUCAGGUUGGUGGGAAAAAUAUCAAAGGAGAAGAGAAAAGCAAAAAUCCUUUCCCAAGCUAUUGUGCCAUUGAAAUACCCACAGCAGAAGGCAGUUUUGCUGAGGCAGGAUUUAUUUAUCACUGCAGGGAUCUCUGCAAGAACCUGAAUUUCUCUCCUAUCUCAUGUGGGCUCAGUUCCUGACCAGCCCCUUGUCUCUGAUGUGGCCGCUGGUCUGUUCCCUGUGCCAUUGCUCAUCUCUUUGCCUCAUGAGCCCCCGCUACCACCGGCAGCAGCUCCCAAGGUGACAAGGUGCAGCAGUCAGUGACGCUAACAUGCUAUGGAAAAGCUGAAGCAACCAUAACAACAGCAGGAGAAAUUUGGGCUCUUGGCUGCUGGUCUGAGCUCGACAUCUGCCCCUUCCUUCCCCGUAGGCAAUGUUCUGCAGGAGGAAGCUUUGAGGAGCUGCUCGGAGGGGUGCGAGCAGGCACUUGGAGCAUUGGGGCUGCUCGGAGGUGCUGGGGAAGGAGAGCAGGAGGUGGCUCCUGGCUUCUGGGGCACCUGGCAGGGCACUAACCCCACCAGGUGGGCUGCAAGGGUGGGUAGCACAGCCUCUGUAGGGCUCUGAGGUCUGCCCAGACCCCUGGGGAAGGCUCAGGCCCUUGUAAGGUGGCUGUGUCUGCAAAACAAUUAAAUAGGGCAAUUUUAGGGUCACCAAAAGUUCACGAACGCCCCAGUGUGAUUGCACGGCAUGGCCUGAAAAAAAAAAAGCCUGCCUGGAGCAGUGCAGCAGAUCAAAAAAAGAUUUGAGCUCUCCCAGCAGUUUGCUAUCUCAGAUCAUCUUUUUCUGUGACAUUAAUUUCCUCGGGCAGAAGAUUAAGCACUUUGAAAUGAAAUAUAGUGAUUUCAGUUUCUGCUGUCCUUGCACACUGCCGCACUUCUCCGUGCGGUCUCUCCGCUGCCAUCGCAGAGCCAGCGAGGUUAAUAAUGGUUCACCCGAAAAUCGCGAGGUCUGUGUGAGGGAGAUAUGUCAGGAGCCCGCAGGAUGAGCACCUCUGAUAUUUAUAUGGAAUUAAAUCCAGGCCCCAUGCACAAACAAGGCCUGGUCACCGCUUAGCAGGGACAUUUCGUGGUGAAUUUCAGAUGGCACUUUGUGCUGGCUUUUUCCACUGGGUAAAUUCCACUUGACGUGGACAAAUCCCUCCACGUGGCAGUGCCUGAGAGGCCGUGUGCUGUGUUACUGAGGGAAGCUGCAGUCUGACCUGAGGCUGGGGUGUGAGAAAUCCAAGGCAGCAUUCGGGCAGACAUCCUAGCUUCCCCCUGGGCUGAGUGGCCCUCAGCCACAGGAGAUGCUCUGACACCCACUGAGGGUUUUGAAGCCCAAUUAGUUGCCGCUCCGAGUGAAUUUAAUGAGUCUAGGAAGUGAGAGGCUGUGGGCUCCUGCAGCCACGACGCAGAAGGGGGACCUGAACCUCUUGUGCAGCAGCAAGGCCAGUAAUCAGGUUCACAGGCCAGCCCUGGCAGUCAAAACCCUUGCCUGCUUGUGUUAAUUGAGCCCGCCAGCCCCUGUGUACUUCUAUUUUUAGGCUGCUUUUCUAGGAAAUGAGGCUUAUACGGUCUCCGUGGCUGUCUGUCCAUCUGUUGGGCCCCCCCCUGCUCCUCCCCGUAACUUCCAAACUGUCAGCAAAUUUUAGCCAAUCUGGCAAGGCAGGGAAGCAUCUCAGAGACAUCGCGAUUUUUAUGAAUUUCAUGAGGGCUGCUGGAAAUUUCCCAGAGGCUCGAUUAACGUCCCCUCGAGGUAAAGCUGUGAUCGCUCAGCCACUGCCCUUUCUGCUUGCCCCGAGUAGUCGGCGUACAGAAACCAUCUGCCCCGUCGUUGGCUUGGUUUUUCUGAAAAGGACGAUUGUUCUGCUGUGCCCACACCGCUGCGAUGGAGCUGCGCUGAUCAAACAGGGGCUUUGUGAGCAGCUCCUUGUCCGGCGUGAGGAGGAGCCUCCUCUGCGGCGCUGCGAGAGCUCGUCCUCGCCGGGAUGGCGCUCAGCGUGGGUCAUUAAGGAGCUCGAAGAGUCCAUUUGGUCCAGACAAACAAUGAACUGCUGACACUUUUGACUCUGCUGGGGCUGAAGAAUACGAGCACACACAUCUGAGCCCUGUCAGUGGAAGCACACACGGAUUAGGUUCUUCUGGUGACGGCUGCAGUUUUAUUGUGAAUAAUCUGAUGGGAGCCUGAUGGUGUCCAACACAUCCAUUCUUGCCUUGUGAUUCUUUUGCCAUCUGAAAUGUUGUUAGUUUUAAUGACAUAAUUAUCCUUCAUAUUUUCAGUUA